rnacentral:rRNA from 1 species
CACAUAGGAGGCGAGCGUUAUCCGGAUUUACUGGGCGUAAAGUGCGUUGAGGCGGCUCUGUAAGUUGGACGUGAAAGCUCCUGGCCUAACUGGGAGAGGUCGUUCAAUACUGCAGAACUUGAGGACAGCAGAGGGGGGUGGAAUUCCCGGUGUAGUGGUGAAAUGCGUAGAUACCGGGAGGAACACCAGUGGCGAAGGCGGCCCCCUGGGCUGCUCCUGACGCUGAAGGCGAAAGCUAGGGGAGCAAACGGGAUUAGAUACCCUCGUA